rnacentral:rRNA from 1 species
UGGGCUUGAUAUCCUAAGAACCUCUUAGAGAUAAGAGGGUGCUAGCUUGCUAGAACUUAGAGACAGGUGCUGCACGGCUGUCGUCAGCUCGUGUCGUGAGAUGUUCGGUUAAGUCCGGCAACGAGCGCAACCCACGUAUUUAGUUGCUAACAGUUUGGCUGAGCACUCUAAAUAUACUGCCUUCGUAAGGAGGAGGAAGGUGUGGACGACGUCAAGUCAUCAUGGCCCUUAUGCCCAGGGCGACACACGUGCUACAAUGGCAUAUACAAUGAGACGCAAUAUCGCGAGAUGGAGCAAAUCUAUAAAAUAUGUCCCAGUUCGGAUUGUUCUCUGCAACUCGAGAGCAUGAAGCCGGAAUCGCUAGUAAUCGUAGAUCAGCCAUGCUACGGUGAAUACGUUCCCGGGUCUUGUACUCACCGCCCGUCACACCAUGGGAGUUGAUUUCACUCGAAGCCCAAAUACCAAACUGGUUAUGGUCCACAGUGGAAUCAGCGACUGGGGUGAAGUCGUAACAAGGUAACCGUAGGAGAACCUGCGGUUGGAUCACCUCCUUUCUA